rnacentral:rRNA from 1 species
AUUGAACGCUGGCGGCAGGCCUAACACAUGCAAGUCGAACGAGUGGCGGACGGGUGAGUAAUGUCUGGGAAACUGCCUGAUGGAGGGGGAUAACUACUGGAAACGGUAGCUAAUACCGCAUACCAUCGGAUGUGCCCAGAUGGGAUUAGCUGGUAGGGGGGGUAAAGGCUCACAUAGGCGACGAUCCCUAGCUGGUCUGGGAGGAUGACCAGCCACACUGGAACUGGGCAACGGUCAAGACUCCUAGGGGGGGCAGCGGUGGGGAAAAUGGCAAAAUGGGCGCAAGCCUGAUGCAGCCAUGCUGGGUGUAUGAAGAAGGCCUUCGGGUUGUAAAGUACUUUCAGCGGGGAGGCGUUACCCGAAGAAGAAGCACCGGCUAACUCCGUGCCAUCAGCCGCGGUAAUA